rnacentral:rRNA from 1 species
AGGACGAACGCUGGCGGCGUGCUUAACACAUGCAAGUCGAACGGUAAGGCCCCUUCGGGGGUACACGAGUGGCGAACGGGUGAGUAACACGUGGGUAAUCUGCCCUGCACUUCGGGAUAAGCCUGGGAAACUGGGUCUAAUACCGGAUAUGAACUCCUGCCGCAUGGUGGGGGUUGGAAAGUUUUUCGGUGCAGGAUGAGCCCGCGGCCUAUCAGCUUGUUGGUGGGGUAAUGGCCUACCAAGGCGACGACGGGUAGCCGGCCUGAGAGGGUGAUCGGCCACACUGGGACUGAGACACGGCCCAGACUCCUACGGGAGCAGCAGUGGGGAAUAUGCACAAUGGGCGAAAGCCUGACGCAGCGACGCCGCGUGGGGGAUGACGGUCUUCGGAUUGUAAACCCCUUUCAGUAGGGACGAAGCGCAAGUGACGGUACCUGCAGAAGAAGCACCGGCUAACUACGUGCCAGCAGCCGC